rnacentral:rRNA from 1 species
UACGUAGGGUGCGAGCGUUGUCCGGAAUUACUGGGCGUAAAGAGCUCGUAGGUGGUUGGUCACGUCUGCUGUGGAAACGCAACGCUUAACGUUGCGCGGGCAGUGGGUACGGGCUGACUAGAGUGCAGUAGGGGAGUCUGGAAUUCCUGGUGUAGCGGUGAAAUGCGCAGAUAUCAGGAGGAACACCGGUGGCGAAGGCGGGACUCUGGGCUGUGACUGACACUGAGGAGCGAAAGCAUGGGGAGCGAACAGGAUUAGA